AUGUUACAAAAUAACCUUAGGAGCUCAAAAAUUGCUAUCACAAUAAAAUUGUCAUGAACAAUCCGGUCCAUCAAUCAUACCAACAUAGGAACUAAGACCUCUUCGUUACUCAUUCGUAACUAGAACCAACAUAGAUCACGUAUAUCAAUAUAACCAACGACAUGGAUCAAGUAUAGGUAUGUAGCAUAGAAAUAACAUAAAGUAUGGUCAAUAUAAUGUCUAUUUCCAACUGGUUCUCUUUAUUGAGAUCAAUCAUAAACUGUAAGAGUACAAAAACUUUAAAAAUUGAAUAUCUGCAGAUAUAACCGAAUUACUGAAUUUCUGAAUAUAAUGAACAUACAUAAAUGUACAAUACAAAACUCCCACUAAAAUACAUAAUCCUUAUCUGAUUUGACACCC
rnacentral:lncRNA from 1 species